CCCGGGCAGGUGAGGUUCGUUAGCCGUGGUAGGCAAUUCACCUAGGAGAGCAAACUCCGAACAAUAAACCCGGGCAGGUUGGGCUCGUGAGCCGUCAUAGGUAAUACACCUAGGAGAGCAAACUCCGAACAAUAAACCCGGGCAGGUGGAGGUCGUUAGCGAAAGCAAUUCAUCUAGGAGAGCAAACUCCGAUUACAAACCCGGGCAGGUGGAGGUCGUUAGCGAAAGCAGUUCACCUAGGAGAGCAAACUCCGAUUACAAACCCGGGCAGGUGAGGUUCGUUAGCCGUGGUAGGCAAUUCACCUAGGAGAGCAAACUCCGAACAAUAAACCCGGGCAGGUUGGGCUCGUGAGCCGUCAUAGGUAAUACACCUAGGAGAGCAAACUCCGAACAAUAAACCCGGGCAGGUUGGGCUCGUGAGCCGUCAUAGGCAAUUCACCUAGGAGAGCAAACUCCGAACAAUAAACCCGGGCAGGUUGGGCUCGUGAGCCGUCAUAGGCAAUUCACCUAGGAGAGCAAACUCCGAACAAUAAACCCGGGCAGGUGGAGCUCGUCAGCCGUGGUAGGCAGUCUGCCUAGGAGAGCAAACUCCGAACAAUAAACCGGGGCUUGUGGUGCUCGUUAGAUGUCGUAGACAAUCCACGUGAUGGGAACACCAAUGUAAAGGAAAAUAAAGAGGAACACCAGAUAAAGGAAAAUAUAGUAACAAAACAUCAAGAAAAGAAAAGAAAAAACACAGAUCAUCCACCUUCAGGCCCUAACAUCUCCAAAAUUAUGGAUGAGUCUUUUCUGGGGAGAAAGAGGCUCAUCCAGACCAAAGAACAUCAAAAAGGGAUGAUAUAGAAAGGAACACCAAAAAAAUGGGAAAAAGAGAAAAAAACAUCACAAAAGAAAAGUAACAACAAUAACAGAACAACGUCAAGAAAAGUAACAUACAAAGAAACAUCAUCCACCAUUCGGCCCCAAACUAACAUCACCAAAAUUAUGGGUGGGUCUUUUCUGGGGAGAAAGAGGCUCACCCAGACCAAAGAACAUCAAAGAGGGAUGAUAUAGAAAAGAACACCAAAAAAUUGGGGAAAAAAGAGCAAAAAAACAUCGCAAAAGAAAAGUAACAGCAAUAACAGAACAACAUCAAGAAAAGUAACAUACAAAGAAACAUCAUCCACCAUUCGGCCCCAAACUAACAUCACCAACAUUAUGGGUGGGUCUCUUCUGGGAGGAAAGCGGCUCACCCAGACCAACGAAGAACAUCAACAAGAGGAUGAUAUGAAAUAAAAGAACAUAAAAAACACGAAGAAAAGAAAUAAGAAGAACAGAAAAAAACAUCGGAAAAGAAAAACAAGAAGAAAAACACAUCAAGAGAAGAAAAAUAUAAGAAACAUCAUCCACCUUUCGGCCCCUAACUAACAUCACCAAAAUCAUGGGUGGGUCUCUUCUGGGAGGAAAGCGGCUCACCCAGACCAACGAACAUCAACAAGAGGAUGAUAUGAAAUAAAAGAACAUCAAAAAAGAAAAACAACAGCAAGAAAACAAAGAAAAAGAUAAAGAAAA